UACGUAGGGUGCAAGCGUUGUCCGGAAUUAUUGGGCGUAAAGAGCUCGUAGGCGGUUUGUUGCGUCGGCUGUGAAAUCCCGAGGCUCAACCUCGGGUCUGCAGUCGAUACGAGCAAACUAGAGUGUUGCAGGGGAGACUGGAAUUCCUGGGUGUAGCGGUGAAAUGCGCAGAUAUCAGGAGGAACACCGGUGGCGAAGGCGGGUCUCUGGGCAACAACUGACGCUGGAGGAGCGAAAGCGUGGGGAGC
rnacentral:rRNA from 1 species